GAUGAACGCUGGCGGCGUGCCUUAAGCAUGCAAGUCGAACGGAGAUUGUGCUUAGCGCUAAGAUAAUUAGUGUUUUGUUGCUACUUCUUUAACUUGUUAUGCCAAAGCACCAAUAGUCAGUUUACUAUUAAUUUGGCGUAACGAGUGGUAAGUUGAGCAACGAUUAAUUAUUUUUGUGCUAAGCACGAAAUCAGUGGCGGACGGGUGAGUAUAAGCAAGGAACGUACCCUUUACUGUGACAUAGCUCGUCGAAAGACGGGGUAAUAUCGCAUGAUCCCUAGCGGGCAAAGCGCUUAACCGCGCGGUAUUGGAGCGGCCUUGUGUCUAUCAGCUAGUUGGUGGGGUAAAGGCCUACCAAGGCGACGACGGAUAGGGGGCGUGAGAGCGCGA
rnacentral:rRNA from 1 species